AAUUGUAUAGUAUAAAAAAGUAUAUAUUGCUUACAACAAUAAAGAGAAAAAUAUCAAAUUUUUUUUCUACAAUUU
rnacentral:tRNA from 1 species